GCCUUUUCCUUUGAAGAAGGCUCUUGUUAAAUUUCACUAGACAUCAGUCGGUCUCGGGAGCUGCAUCCCCACUUCGCUUCCUUGAUUCUCCAAACUCCACAGGUGGAACAGAGGGAAGUGAAUGUGUGUUUGCAAAUGUGGGCACAAAGUGAGGUUCUGGUUGCUGAGGAAGCAAGUGCUAAUGAUCCUGCUUUAGACUAAUUACAACCUACAAGGACUGCAGGGUGGGAACUCAUUAAUUUCUUCGCUGGUGUUGGUCUCUGUGUCUCUUCCAGUGUUGGCAAGAAUCAUGCUUUUUGUUCUCAUUUAGGUCUUUCAAUCUGGAUAAGUUCUACGGUUUUGGUUUUGUUUUGAGUUUCCUAAUUUCCAGGAAACAACUAAAGUGAAAUCAGAAGGGAAAAAUUCAUCCUUCCUUCCUGAUGAGUGGAGCUGGGAGUGUGAAUGAACUUUAAUGAGCCCCAACAUGAGGAGCAGUGGCUUCCCUGGGGACCGAAAGCUCACACUGCUGCAACUGAGACCAGCCUCAGUAUUUACCACAACCAGACUGCCCCCAUUCUGUGGUUCCCUGCUGGCAGAAUGAUGUUCUGCAGAAGACCCUUCGCAGGAAAAUAUUUGGGCUCCUCAGCCUGCAUUGCCCCAGUGGGGUGAGACCACCGGGAUCACCAUGGGCUCUGCGUGGCCAAUACUUGGCAAUGGCACCCUCUAAAAGCUCCCUAAUUCUGGGGCUGAAAUCCUGCCAGCUCUGAAGGCAACAGCAAAAGGUGUCUGACCUGGGCUGAAGGAAAACCUUGGACUUUGGCUGGAAUCAGAUGGUUUGAAGCACAUUCACUGGAGAAGGACGAUUAAAAGAACAAAACCAACGCGCGGAGCAAACCUCACACUGUCAACUUCCAGUUCAAGGUGUCUCAAGACGCACCCAACCCUCUUCUCCUCGACCUGCAUCGCCCCAAGGGAUGCCUCACACCCAGAAACGGGGGACUCCCUCACCACCCCAUCAGGGAGUCCACGCUGCUCAGUACGUGGGUGCUCUACGGUUUCAGUGGCACAGAUCCCUUCUGUUCUGAUAUUUCUUCAAAAAAAGCGCGAGGGAGGAAGGUGCUUCAAACAGGCGUCGUCCUCCU